AUAUUCCCAUUUACACUUUUUCACUAGAGCAUCAUUUAAAUUUCUUACAGGAAACAAAAAUCUUUGCAAUUUCAGUAUUGCUUUUAUCCUUGUGCAAUGCAUAUAUUUUUGUUUAAAUAUGCUACUGAUUACCUAAACCUAAUAUUUUCCUUAAAUCUCAGAAAGAAGUGUAAGAGCUGAGUUCACUCAUAAUUUUCAUUGAUCAUUAAAUCUAACUCUUACUCUUCAUGUUUUGUCUUAUUUCAUGAUGUGGAAGUAUUCCUUAACAAUUUUACUGUUGAAACUUAAUCCUUUCCCUACCUGCUCAGCUUUCUGCCUCAGGCAGUAAUCCAGCUGUAAGAUGUAAUAAUUAUCUCUGUGGGAGAGAUCUUAAAUGGGUGAAGGGCUUCCUUGAAAAGACCUUUCUUUUAUUAUGUGUCUUUCUUAAUGUUAGCACAACAGUUGCUUGCAUGGUAAUAACUGGAGGGGGGGUAAAGUGUGCUUAAAAAAACAUGCUUUACAAGCAGCUGACAGGAGCAAGUGUAUGGUGUGCAGCUAUUCCUCAUACAGAAGAAUAUUUAAGUGCUACUUGUAAAGAAGCGCUCACAGGAAUCUGUUGACCACACCUUGAAAAUCACUUCUCUGUGAAUAAUUCAGAUACUUGCAGCUAAAAUAGCAAGUAUGUUGACUUUUAUAGAAACUUGAACUUCCAUAUUAAGUCUUCCUCCAAAUCUUUGUUUUACAAAAGGAUUAGCCAUUGUUUUGGGCAAGAUGAAGGGAUAUUCAUUUGAAAAUGGCAGGAGCUAAGUAGUAUGGAAAGGUAUUCUGAUAGAGAAGGUCAGGAUUCUCCUCUUUUCUAUAUGAAGAGCUCCUGUUAUUGCCAUUGCCACAUACACUGUUUUUACUUGGUGUGAAAAUUGAAGAGGGGAGUAAAGACACAGUCUCAAUCUUGAGCCUCUGUCAUGUCUCAUCUUGACCAUCCAGGUAAUUCUUUAGGUACUGGCAAGAACUGUUAGCUUUGUUGAUGGUAAGAAGCGCCAUCAGGUUUAAGUAAAAUCAUCAGACAGAUAUAAUCUGAAGGUUGCUGGAUGUCUUCCAGUCUGUUCUCAAGUUCUAUUCCCCCUUUGUCUCUCUCAAAGGAAUGUUAGUAAAAACAAGUAUUCUGACUAACAAAUUGUAUUUAUCCUGUCAGGAUGGGUCAGCCUUUUUAAAAUUAGGCCUUCACAAGAAAAAUGGUUCAGUAAAUUGAAGUGACAUAGCUUGUGAAAAAUUAUGAAAAUAGCAUUUGCACAUAGGAAAACUAUAAAAAAGAGAAAAAUUUGACUUUUUCUGCUUGCAGGUAGAGCAGAAUAAUCGACAGGUAUUUUCCCCCUUCCAGUUCAACCUAUCUUUUCUCUCACUGCCUUCAUCAUGUGUAAAACACCAUAAAUACCAUCCCUUUUCAGAAUUCCCUAAUUUCACUAAACGCGUAGGAAGUAGGAAUUUCUAAGAGUGCGACAGGCAUACUAAAAUAAUUUUCAUACAUUGCAAUUGCUGUGGUUGCUGAAAAAAUGGAAUGGAUGUCUUACCUUUGCAUCCAUACACGAAAUUUUUCCAACUUACACAUACAGCUGCAGAGUAAGCAUUUUAAGUAUUACAGAUUUGUGCAUGUGAUUUCAGUACGGAUGCAUGCAUUUGUCAGAUUAUUUUUUGGAUCUUUUGCAGGUGAUUAUAUACAUAGACUCAAACAUAUGGAUUAAUGGAUAUGCAUGCAUAUAGUUGGGACACUUGGACACCUAGAGGUUGUGCAGUUGCAGAGGGACAAUGUGCAACUGUAGACUAACCUUUGAAUAUACAAUCAUUUUGUCUGCUUUGUACAUGAAACCUGAGAUUGAAUUGCAAGUAUUAUUUCUUUUCAAAAUAUUCUUUGCAUUACAACCAGUUAAAAACAUGAUCAGUCACUUCUCGUUUCUUUAUUUUGUCUGUUGUUUCUUAUCAGCUGGCAGGAAAGUAGCCUAGUAUUGUGAAGAUUAAGAAAAGUUUUCUACCAACAGGCACAUACAAAGUGUUGGGAAUUGGAUUGGAAAGGAUUAAGUGGGACAGAAAUCCUUUCAAGGUGUAGUGCAGUUUGUACCUUGAUUAGGUAAUACUGAAAGCCAAGCUAGAGUAAGCAUACAGGAAGAGAGAGCCUGGGGAUAGGUAACCUCAUGUUGAAUGGCACUUCGGAGCAAGCCCUAUGAGAAAAGGCAAUAUUCUGGAAGAGGAGUAAGCUCUCAAAAAAACCCAACAUUUUGGCAUUGCCAUGUGCAGGUUGUCCAGCUCAGAUCUCAGCACUUUCCUUUUCUCAGCUGUUGAGCAAUCCAAACCCAGGGGCCACUGAAGGCAGGCAGCUCUUCAGGCAGAUGCUGCUUGUUUGUCAGAGGAGGCUUUUGCAGGACCUAGCUGUGCCUUGUAGCUCACAUGCCUUCUUCAUGGCUGUGCGCCUAUGGGCUGAAAAUGCAGGCAUCUGUGCCUUCCUGAAGUUUCUUAUGAAAAGACUCAAGAUAAAAACAAUUCUGGGAAGUUGUCAGGCCAUCCCAGUCUUUUACAAACUUAGCAUUGCACGAAAGUUUCCACGACGGGUCCUGGAAGGGUUUGGGUGAGUGUAUGUGGCUGGGCUUUUCCCUGAAAGUUCUAUAAUUCGCUUCUGCCUGACCCAGUGUCCGGAAUUGCAGCAGAACCUGCUGCUCCAGGAAAGUCCUGCUUCAGCUGCUACCAUGUAACUAAAACUUUGUUUUGACUUUGAGCCUAGGAAUAUCCUGCUUUGCUUGGAAACCUUGACAGUGGAAAGGCUGUAAGACACAUUCUACCCAUCCUUCACCUCACUUUCUCUGCAUACAAAAAUACAGCACUCUGUGCAGUAUUUCAACUACUUCGAGAAGAACCUGUCCCCCAAACCUCCAACAGACCUUAUAAAAACAUAAGACUUUCCUUCUUGAAAUCGAAAUAACAUAACUUAGUAUGUUACAAAUAUUACAAUGCUACUUUUUGUUUUAAACUAUCUUAGAUAUAUAUGGCAUUUUUAUAGCUCUGAGUGAUUGGUAGUGCAGUUAAUACUCUUAGAAAAACUUUAAAACUGCUUUCUACAGUCUAGUGCCUGUCUACAACCUAUGUUCCUUGCAAACAGCCAGAGGAAAUCACAUACACAUAUCAAUUAACAAAAAGCACCAAUGACAAAACCAAACCAAAACAGGAAAAGAAAAAAAACAAAACAAACAAAAAAACCCCAAACAAAUCAGAGAACUCUAUGCAUGAUUAUCCCGGUUUGGGAAGAACAUAAUAAACUGUGUAAUGUUCUUAGGCUAGGAAAACAUCCCAGAAAAACAAACACAUUUAACAUUCUCUGGCACAGUCAUAAUUUUAAAGAUUGCUGGAAAGAGAAUUGGACUUUAUGGAUGCCAUUGACUGUCAACUAAGGAAUUCUGUUUAGAAUAAAAUUAAUAUGAUGUUAUUACUCCAGCAUAAUGCAAACAACUGUUAGCUGCUACAUCUUUAUAAGUAUAAGAAAGACACUACCAAAUAAAAGGGAAUUAAAAAACCUUGUUCAGCUUGUGUCUUCACCAGUGCUUACAGAACUGUACAUGUCUUUUGCUAAAUAUCCAUACAGAGACACUAACAUUACAGCAAAUUUAGGGAUUACCUGCUUACAUGGGUGAUCUCAGUCUUUGGUUAUGGACAGAAACCAAGAAAUUAAGAGCUUGGCUUGGUGAGGUGUUGCAUGCAAGACUACACCUUGGCAUUGCGGAAAAAUGUGCAUAUACUUGCCAAUAUACUUAUUAAUAUACUUAGUUACUCACAGAUCACUGUAGCAGGCAAUUUGGUGUAAUUGAUACAGUUUUGGAGGGUGAUACAACUUACAAGAUCUGUAUGAGGCUGUGAUUUCUGUAACUAGUGAAUGUGAAGCCUUUAAGGACUCCACAUAGUACUCUAAGCAUUGGAAUAAAUCUUUGGAAUAAAGCAUGUUGUCCAGAUAUCCUACACCUAUUUAGCAUAUAUGCUUGUUCCUUACAUUUAAUUAUCAGGGUAUUGUUCUUUUAAAUAGGCAUGGCAAGGUAUUUUUAAUUAUAUGUGUAUUCAUCUACUCACAAUGAGAGUAGGUGGAGGAGGAAAAUACAACAAUUACAGGAAGUCUUACCGAAAGUAGAAGUCAUAAAUCUUAGUUUUUAAAAUACCAUGUAGAACAUGCACUCACCUUGAUUUCAUUUGCAGUUGUUAGCCCAGCCCUACACUUCAGUUGUACGUGAGCAUCAUUGGAGCACAAUCUGUAGUGCCGACUUCCCAGUACCGAGAGCUGGAAGGAGGUCGUGACAAUGGGAGCUGACAGAAUGGGGGAUUGGUUGUUACUGCUCCUCAGCCUCAAGCAGAAUAAUCAAGCUUGUUUGUUUUUUUUGGGUGCACUGCUCGUUUCAUCUACAGGAAUAUCAGACAUUAUGGAUGAUUAUCUCAGUUUGCAAGAUACAGUAAUACUUUGUUGAUAAAAGAAGCUUAAAGGGAGCUUCUGAACACCCCUUCUACCCCUUGAACAAAUUUUAAACAGGUCUGGAAUGCUGGGUUUUCUCCAACUCUAUGCAUAUAUAUUUGUCAAUUUUCCAGUAUAAAUAGCUACAAACAAAUAAAAAGAAUGGAAAGAAAUGUGACAGCUUAAAUCUUAUGAAAUUCAAAAUACUGGGCAAAAACAUAAAAGAAGCUGAAUUCUGUAUUACUUCUUCAGAUGUAUUUAUAUGAGAGGAUUUUCAUGAAGUUAAAGUAUGAUCUGUAACAGUAACUAUUAUUUCUAUAAUUCACACUGUAUUUCGGCCCCUUACUUGGGUGAAUAUAGUGAAAGUUUUAGUACAAAUAUUUGGGUUUAAAUUUACCAUUCCAAGGAUAAUCCUCCAGAUAGUUUAACAGGUAUUGUAAAGGAGGUAAUUUGCAUGAUAAAUAUAAUUGUGUUUAGGGUGUUUUUUCCUUCUGAUCAAUGCACGUGAAAAAAUAUAUAUUUUACCAAAAAUAGAUGUAUUGCAUAAAGAUAAGAGCACUACUGAAAUUAGAAAGAUGCGUAAAGACUUUUCAAAGAUUUUCCAGUUAUCUGCAGUGGUUUAUCUUGUACCUAAAAGAAUCCUUCCCUCCACUGAUUUCCUUUAAAUUUUGAUUAUUUUACUGACUGACCUUUUCCCCUAAAAAAAAACUUUUUAAAAAAUUCUGAGUAUAAAACUGACUGAUCCUUUAGCUUACAAACACAAGACAUACUGUGACUAGAAAAACAGAAAACCACAGAAAACAGAAAGUAACUGAAAUGCAAGAAAGCAAAUACGGUGGCUUAGUUUAAAAAUAAAUAACAAAAUGACAAACACUGUUAUCUUAGGUUGUUUUGUGUCUGGGUUUCUAAAGAACCUUCUGGCUUAUGAGGAAAUAAAGCAAAAUUUAACUCAUCAA